rnacentral:misc_RNA from 1 species
CCAGAGGCCACUCCCUUAGAC